GCUCAACAAAGUUUAUUGUUUUUUCCUAAAAAUGAUGCAAGGACAGAACACUCAGAGUGGCCCUUGUGCCUUCAGAGAGGACAGACACUUCAACCAGGGGCUUUCCCUGAGGUACGGCUUCUGCUUUUCCAAGACUCUGAGUGGAGGCUCAUUCCAUGCAGCCCGCCCAGAGGGAGAACGCUGCGGCCUGGACGGCUGCUGUUCUUUUCUGUCUAGCUAUGGUCAACGGCCUGAGGCAUGGCCAGCACACUGCUCUGGCCUGCCCUCCCCGUCAGUCAAGUGUCAAAGCAGAAGCACCUGCAAAGGGAACAAGCCGUCCUCAGGACCCGGGGGUCAGGAGCUGCAGCCCUGCACGUCACAGGGUGGAGUCUGGGCCAUCUGUGGGGAAGUUAGUACACCAAGGGCGCAAGCAUGAUUUUGGAGUGGACGGCACACGGGAGCUGGAGGUUAGCUACCUCAGCCUCAGGUUAGUGGAAAGACCCAGCCUGGUCCAUAAUCAGGGUUAAAAGCAGAGAGCUCAGUUAUCCGCCCGGCUUCGUGGGGCAGGAGACUGAACCCGGGCCAGCAGGCGUGCUAGGCGAGUGCUCUACUACUGAGCUACACCUUCAGAACAAAGCUGAUGGCUUCUUAGCCAAGUAUAAAGCAAAGUUUGCACACAUUACAUGUAAGUGUGUGUGCGUGUGUGGGGGGGGGCGUGGGCUGGAGCAGCGGCAUGUCCCACUACAUGUCUCCUUGUCAGUUCCUCACAGCAGUGUUCAGUUUUACAGUAAUGACAUUGUGACUCCACAGCAGCAGAAUCAAAGGCAGAUUACUACCAGGCUGGCUCAGACCUCGUGUCUCAGCCUCCUGAGAACAGAGAUGAUACAGUGCACCCCACCGUGGCCAACCGGGCACACGCACUUUAAAGAAAAACUGGAAUACAUUUCAGAAUUUGUUCUGGAACCCCAGGCUGCUAGCUGGACAGUCUUCUGUGGGCCAGGGAAGCACUACCUCUGGGCUCUUUGUGGGAGAGACUGCGGGCUGGGGUUCUAUCUGACCACACAACAUUAGCAUCGCUUGAUUACUGGAAGUGGAAGGACAGCUGCCGGGGCGUCAUGAACUCCUUCACGGUCUCCUCAGUGACCGCCUUGCGUCGGGCCUGGUGCUCUGCGAUCAGGGGCUGAAGGACGUCUAUGAGCGUCUUCUUGAGCUCCCCGGUGAGCAUGGCUCCGCUGGUGUAAUCCU
rnacentral:lncRNA from 1 species